rnacentral:lncRNA from 12 species
GACAUUUUAAAACAUUUUAUUACAAGAUAUCUAGUGUGUGCUUCAAUUGUUGGAUCACACUGAACACAGUAUCUAUGAACGCUUCUAUUUGAUUAGGGAGGAACCGGCCCGGACUUUUUCUACAAAGUAGCAAUAUCAUAUUUCAAGCUGGGGAACAGCAUUUGGCUCAGACCAUAUGUUCAUCUCUAUACAACUGAAGUCACCAAUAGCUUACAGACUCUCUCAGUAAUUUCUCCACGUCACAGUGUUGAAUGCAAGAUGGAUGAGAGUCAAGAUAUCUAAAGAAGGCUAAGGUAACACAUGGGGAAGAAUGGUUAGAUUAAAUUAGUUUUCCCCAAACUGUGAUGCGAGAUCUUCAGACAACUGCCAUGGACAUCAGGUAGGAGCUUGAUAAAAUUAAAAAUCCUACCUUAAAAAAAUAAAAAAUAAAAAAUAAAUAAAAAUCCUUGUGUCCUGGCCUACAGAGUGAGUCUCUGGGUCCCACCAAUCUGCCAAGUCGACCUGCUUCUGAGGUACAUCAGAGUUUGAGAUCCACUGGGCUAGGUGGAUAUGAGGGCCCCUCCUCCUACAAAAUUCUGUGAGGUUUGGAAGGUCUUUCCAAAGCUCACAGUAUUCCUACACGGAGAACCUCCACUCUGGCUGAACGUCCUUGGCUUGGCACUGGAAAUACCAUGAGCAUGUCCUGAGAACAGGUAUGUCCACAUGUACAUGCUGUUGAGACUUGGUAAAACGGAGCAAGGGAAUCACUCAGCCAGAUUUUUCAGAGCUGCUCUGGGUCAGCCACCCUACCCCUCCUCU